rnacentral:sRNA from 1 species
UAUUCUGCCCUACGGGGAAGGAUGAGAAGCUUCGACUAAGGUUCGACUCGAGCGUAGCGAGAGAACGUUGCCGCAGGCAACGGCCCGAAGGGCGAGGCGCGUUAGCGCCGAGUCAUCCUUCCCCCACCAUUC